rnacentral:rRNA from 1 species
GGAUUAGAUACCCUGGUAGUCCACGCCGUAAACGAUGGAUACUAGCUGUUGGAGGUAUCGACCCCUCCAGUAGCGAAGCUAACGCGUUAAGUAUCCCGCCUGUGGAGUACGGUCGCAAGACUAAAACAUAAAGGAAUUGACGGGGACCCGCACAAGCGGUGGAUUGUGUUCUUUAAUUCGAUGAUAAACGACGAACCUUACCAGGGCUUGACAUCCCUUAAAUUUUGCCGAAAGGCGAGAGUGCUUUAUUGAAUAAGGUGACAGGUGAUGCAUGGCCGUCGUCAGCUCGUGUCGUGAGAUGUUUGGUUAAGUCCAUCAACGAGCGCAACCCUUGUGAAUAGUUGUACUUUUCUAUUCAGACUGCCCCGG